AUUGAACGCUGGCGGCAGGCCUAACACAUGCAAGUCGAGCGGAGCGGCGGACGGGUGAGUAAUGCCUAGGACUCUGCCUGGUAGUGGGGGAUAACGUCCGGAAACGGGCACUAAUACCGCAUACUAUCAGAUGAGCCUAGGUCGGAUUAGCUAGUUGGUGGGGUAAAGGCCUAACAGGGCGACGAUCCGUAACUGGGCGGAGAGGAUGAUCAGUCACACUGGAACUGCAAAACGGUCCCGACUCCUACGGUAGGCAGCAGUGGGUAAUAUUGGACAAGGGGCGAAAGCCUGAUCCAGCCAUGCCGCGUGUGUGAAGAAGGUCUUCGGAUUGUAAAGCACUUUAAGUUGGGAGGCGUUACCAACAGAAUAAGCACCGGCUAACUUCGUGCCAGCAGCCGCGGUAAUAC
rnacentral:rRNA from 1 species